rnacentral:tRNA from 1 species
CCCUUGUUAGCUCGGUUGGUAGAGCGCUUCACUUGUAAUGGAGAGGUCCCGGGUUCGAUACCGCGGACCAGGCG